CCCAACCACAAAACCUUCCAUCUGCAAUCUGUCCUGACUGCCAAAUACACUAACGCGAUGGUGACACAAAGCUUGUGGGAGUGACUAACCAGCAUCUGAUUUGACUUAAGGCCACUCCAGGAGAUGGAAACCAUACCUGACACUGCUUGGCUGAUAUCAUCCAAAAAAGCCUGGAAAAGCUGUAUGUCCCUUUCCUCUAAGGCAUGUGGCAAUCCAUACCUUUUCAAUGCUUCAGCCUAAGACUCUGAAAACAGAACCUUCACUGACUGCUACAUGAACCAGACUACUUAACGCAGAGGGCUGUUGUGUGGGAUGUCUUUCUGCAUGCUUGAAAGUUGUACCCGGCCUUAGCAAGAUGAGCAAAAUGGAAAUGUGUCAGAAGAUUGGGGCCAAGUCUCCUGGUUUCCUCAGAUUUGGCUCAAGAGCAAGACGAUGUUUGACUCACACUUCUGAAGCCAUGACAAGCUUGGGGCCUUGAGUAAAUGAUGGUGAAUGACCGAAUAAAUAACCAAACCU